rnacentral:rRNA from 1 species
AUACGGAGGGGGCUAGCGUUGUUCGGAAUCACUGGGCGUAAAGGACGCGUAGGCGGGUUUGUAAGUCAGGUGCGAAAUCCUACAGCUUAACUGUAGAACUGCACUUGAAACUACAGACCUAGAGUAUGGGAGGGGCAGAUGGAAUUAGUGGUGUAGGGGUAAAAUCCGUAGAUAUCACUAGGAAUACCGAAAGCGAAGGCGAUCUGCUGGAACAUAACUGACGCUAAGGCGUGAAAGCGUGGGGAGCAAACAGGAUUAGAAACCCUAGUAGUCC